AUUGAACGCUGGCGGCAGGCCUAACACAUGCAAGUCGAGCGGAUGAAGGGAGCUUGCUCCUGGAUUCAGCGGCGGACGGGUGAGUAAUGCCUAGGAAUCUGCCUGGUAGUGGGGGAUAACGUCCGGAAACGGGCGCUAAUACCGCAUACGUCCUGAGGGAGAAAGUGGGGGAUCUUCGGACCUCACGCUAUCAGAUGAGCCUAGGUCGGAUUAGCUAGUUGGUGGGGUAAAGGCCUACCAAGGCGACGAUCCGUAACUGGUCUGAGAGGAUGAUCAGUCACACGGAACCGGAAACACGGCCCAGAUCCCAAGGGAGGGCGCCAGGGGGAAAGAUGGAACAAGGGGCGAAAGCUUGACCCAGCCAGGCGGGGGGGGUGAAGAAGGUCUCGGAUUGUAAAGCACUUUAAGUUGGGAGGAAGGGCAGUAAGUUAAUACCUUGCUGUUUUGACGUUACCAACAGAAUAAGCACCGGCUAACUUCGUG
rnacentral:rRNA from 1 species